CCUACGGGGGGCUGCAGUAGGGAAUCUUCCACAAUGGACGAAAGUCUGAUGGAGCAACGCCGCGUGAGUGAAGAAGGGUUUCGGCUCGUAAAGCUCUGUUGGCAGUGAAGAACGAUAGCGGUAGUAACUGGCCUUUAUUUGACGGUAAUUACUUAGAAAGUCACGGCUAACUACGUGCCAGCAGCCGCGGUAAUACGUAGGUUGCAAGCGUUGUACGGAUUUACUGGGCGUAAAGCGAGUGCAGGCGGUUCAAUAAGUCUGAUGUGAAAGCCUUCGGCUCAACCGGGGAACUGCAUCAGAAACUGGUGAACUGGAGUGUAGAAGAGGAGAGUGGAAUUCCAGGUGUAGCAGUGGAAUGCGUAGAUAUAUGGAAGAACACCAGUGGCGAAGGCGGCUCUCUGGUCUGCAACUGACGCUGAGGCUCGAAAGCAUGGGUAGCAAACAGGAUUAGAUACCCUAGUAGUC
rnacentral:rRNA from 1 species